rnacentral:rRNA from 1 species
UACGAAGGGGGCGAGCGUUGUUCGGAAUUACUGGGCGUAAAGGGCUCGUAGGUGGCCAACUAAGUCAGACGUGAAAUCCCUCGGCUUAACCGGGGAACUGCGUCUGAUACUGGAUGGCUUGAGUUCGGGAGAGGGAUGCGGAAUUCCAGGUGUAGCGGUGAAAUGCGUAGAUAUCUGGAGGAACACCGGUGGCGAAGGCGGCAUCCUGGACCGACACUGACGCUGAGGAGCGAAAGCCAGGGGAGCAAACGGG